AAAGCUGAUCUGAUUAUCGUAUUUUGAAAAGCUUUAUCGCAUCUCUGGGAACACUAAGAGGAAGCAAGCAGCACGCGGUUAAGUUCUUGUUUUGAGUGCUGUGGUGAGUGUGUGUUUCUGUGAAUUUUACCGAUUAUUCCCCUCCAGCGGCCUCUUUCGGGCACCGUCAACCUUGCUCCUCCUCCUGGCCGCUGAAGGACCAGUUUCCAGGCAUCCGUCAAGCUGCCCCAGAAGAGUAAAAAGGACGCCGCCUGCCUUCAGUCGCACUAAAUGUAAGAUGGCGAGUGCAUCGAAGGUAGCGUGGAGGUCCGGGAGUGUGCGACCUCGCCGAUAUCCACGAGGUAAGAGUGCGCUCGUGAUGACGUAACUGGAAUAUAUUAACGGCGGGUGUACAGAUGGACUGGAUAAUGUGCUACCUGGGAGUUUACGUGGGCCAUUAAUGUUCUAAAUUGUGGGUGAACGUUUGGAGGAGUCAGGUGGGAGGGGGGUA